rnacentral:rRNA from 1 species
UACCAGCACCCCGAGUGGUCGGGACGAUUAUUGGGCCUAAAGCAUCCGUAGCCGGUUUUACAAGUCCUCCGUUAAAUCCAGCUGCUUAACAUAUGGGCUGCGGAGGAUACUAUAAGACUAGGAGGCAGGAGAGGCAAGCGGUACUCAGUGGGUAGGGGUAAAAUCCGUUGAUCCAUUGAAGACCACCAGUGGCGAAGGCGGCUUGCCAGAAUGCGCUCGACGGUGAGGGAUGAAAGCUGGGGGAGCAAACCGG